CCACAGUUUUGUAAGAAAAUAACCUUUUUUUUCUUUGUAAUAAGUGGCCAUAUUUUGUUUAUCCAUAGAUAAACCAGCACUGUAGCAUACUUCUGGUUUUUGUGACCUCUCCAAAACCUUUGCGCAGGCAUUUCCUGAUUCCUGGAUUCUGCAGAUUUAGAACCAAAAGAGCCUGAAGAGCAGAGCAUCUGCUCUUUGGAUCCCAUGCACUAUAUUUUAAAGAGCGCGAGUGUUGUAAGCAGUUGGGAUGUGCUUUCUAAAUACAGCCUUCAAGCUUCGCUGCGAUAUGAAGUCUGAGAGUUUCUAUCGUACACAUGCGUCAUGUUCACUUUCAACUGGCUUGAGUCAGAAUGUUGAAGAAAGCAGAUUCUGGAGAUUGUUCCCACAUGAAGCAUUCCCCCACAUCAGUCUGUCACUGCCGCGGAGUCACCGAUACAACAUCCCACUGUUCCUAAGAGAUCCAUGAGCGCUUGCUGAUAUGCCUUUGCCAGGCUUCUCCUGUCUUAUUAAAAAAUAGGAUUUCAUUUAACUCCUCAGAGAGCAAUGGCUUGUCAGAGGAGACUACAAAAGCCUGCAAGCCCUUCCAGCUGGUGAAGAGCAAAUUUUUGAGCAGCUCCUGCCAUCUUGUGGGAUUGAGGAGAACUUUCACUUUGAUUAUUUGUAUUUGGGAAGUCAAAGCUUUCCUUCCUUCCCCACCAACUAGUCAUGGAAAGGAUCACUGAGCCUAGAGGUACACCCCUUUUUGCAGGAACAGACUGGGGAAAACCCACUGCCCUCAGUGGCACGGCUCUGCUGCCCCUGUGGGCAGGUUGGCCAGCUGUAGGUUUUUAGAGGAAGGGAUUGAAAUAUGCAGGGGCUUCUCUUACUGUUGGUCAUACUGGGGGAUUCCUGUGGCCCCAGCUAAGGCGUGGACUGUAGAAGCAUUGCUUCCGUAUCCAGGGUUGUUGCCAGAGAGGCCGAACCACUGAGUGUGGGGUUGGAAACCAAGCAACCCCAGCUAACCCCAUCGUGCUGUGUGGGUGGCCCCAGACAAGGCUCUGAGCAUAGAGAGAGAGGCCAAUAAUUUCUGAGUAAUAAUCCUGUGUUUGUCUUCUCUCGAAACUUCCCACUGCAACGAGCAACGGAUUUGCUCUCUGUAAAUAAUGCAAGCAACUGCCAGUACAUUAACCACCCUGUCCUAUAGAGCUGCUGGUUGUGCAAUAAUUAAAGCACAACAUGGUUUGAAUACCAGAGGCCCAGGUGAAUGCACCCAAGUUGUUGUUAACGGUUGGCAACUGAAAAAGUCUUUGUAGUUUGGUGUGAUGCCUGAGUAAGUGGCAACAAUAUCUUGGAUGUAACAAAUUUGUUUUUACAUCCAUGCACACCAUCAGCUUGAUGGCUUUUUUUUUGGUCUUGCUAGAUGCAGCCAGCUGAAAUUAGCGUGAGCCUUUGUUCGCUUCAGCCUCCUUUGGGUUGAACUCUUCCAUAGAUCAGGUUUUCAUGCGUUUCCAAACUUUUGGGUGACUGAUUUUGCAAUGUGAAAAAUGCUCCUUUCAUAUUUUCAGCUUUUUUUUGUAUUUUCUCCGUUUAAAAACACACUCAGCCAAAAGACAGAGAUUUCUUCAGCAGCGCGUAAUAAUAGAUAGCAGGAGGAGGUUCUCAUAGCUUUAGCAGAUCUGUCCUAGAAGCCAAUAGGAAUCUUUCAAAGUGGGUUUCAUUGGUGCUCUGACAGCAGGGAAGCCUUGAGAUCUUGGAUGCUCUUCCAGGCUCUAGAGGGGAAUAGUCUGGUGGACAUUAGAUUUAUCCACUCAUUCUCCCAUUACCUUCUCUGCCUGCUGUUCCCAGACCUAAUAUCCGUACUGUCUUAGUUCCUGUAUGACUCUGCAUUCAUAAUCUACAUUCCUGCCUCCCCGUAGCCCUUUGACCUCAAAGACUCCUAGUAUCUUUUCUUUGCCAUCUCCAUCCCAGGCUCUGUUUCCCAGACACUUUAUCGCACUUUACUUCACAGAUUUUCUCUGCCGCAUUCCAGGUCUAGGUCCCUCCUCAGAGUAGGACACUUUCCCUCGCCGUACUGCCUGGGUGUCAGCACCUGCACAAGUGAGACAGACAGACUGCUGCCUCACUUUCCCUUGCUCUUGCUUCAGUGUGACCCAGAGAAGCUCCAGAUAAGUUGUGAGUACUGGGAGAGCCUUGUUCUGUCAGGUGUAGGCCUGGGUUGUGUUUUUAUGAGGAUGGCAUAUGUACAUGCAGUACAGCGAUGCAGAAGAUCUGUGUGACUCAAGCAUGAGCAGUUGCUCUGUGGGGAUGGAUGAUGCAUGCACAACCUUGGCAUGCAGAGGAGUUGAAUGAAUUCAUGCUCAGUGUGAUGAAAUUCGAGCCGUUACGUGAAGCUGUGAAACAGAUCUUUACUGAAGAUGAAUAAGUUGCAGUCUUUCAAAGGCUUUGUAUUUUGUGCAAACGUGGGCAGAUUUUCUAGGGAGCAGCAGGUCCAGGCCAAAUUUCAACACGCUCGCUCAUCAAAAGUGCUUCUCUAGCUUUACUUUAAUGAAAAUAAAAAUUAAUAAAACAUCA
ensembl:lncRNA